rnacentral:rRNA from 1 species
UACGGAGGGUGCAAGCGUUAUCCGGAUUCACUGGGUUUAAAGGGUGCGUAGGUGGGCAGGUAAGUCAGUGGUGAAAUCUCCGGGCUUAACCCGGAAACUGCCGUUGAUGCUAUCUGUCUUGAAUAUCCUGGAGGUGAGCGGAAUAUGUCAUGUAGCGGUGAAAUGCUUAGAUAUGACGUAGAACACCAAUUGCGAAGGCAGCUCACUACGGGAUCAUUGACACUGAGGCACGAAAGCGUGGGGAUCAAACAGG